GGGGGCGUACUGGUUUCGACGGGGGUUUAGAGCCUUUAGUAGCGAGCCAUGUUUAGCUUGGUGACAUGUAAAAAACUGAGCAUUAAAUAUAAACGCAAACGAUAAUUACGCACUAGCUGCCUAAUAGCGCAGCUCGUUUCUACCUAGCCUCCCGCCGUUAGGAUAGAAACGUCAUCUAUGCGGGGAACGUCUUAGGGGGUGUCUUGACCCUAAGUUGUACAAUUAAGGCUGGCCAAACCUAAAACCUGUUGCUGGGUGUUAGGCGAGGUGAGAUUCUAAAACAGUAACUGCGCUCGGAGAAGCUGAAGGUGAAGGGCCUUCGGACAGGGGUUCGAUUCCCCUCGCCUCCACCA
rnacentral:tmRNA from 1 species